AGUGAACGCUGGCGGUAGGCCUAACACAUGCAAGUCGAACGGCAGCACAGUAAGAGCUUGCUCUUACGGGUGGCGAGUGGCGGACGGGUGAGGAAUACAUCGGAAUCUACUUUUUCGUGGGGGAUAACGUAGGGAAACUUACGCUAAUACCGCAUACGACCUACGGGUGAAAGCAGGGGAUCUUCUGACCUUGCGCGAUUGAAUGAGCCGAUGUCGGAUUAGCUAGUUGGCGGGGUAAAGGCCCACCAAGGCGACGAUCCGUAGCUGGUCUGAGAGGAUGAUCAGCCACACUGGAACUGAGACACGGUCCAGACUCCUACGGGAGGCCGCAGUGGGGAAUAUUGGACAAUGGGCGCAAGCCUGAUCCAGCCAUACCGCGUGGGUGAAGAAGGCCUUCGGGUUGUAAAGCCCUUUUGUUGGGAAAGAAAAGCAGCAGGUUAAUACCCCGCUGUUCUGACGGUACCCAAAGAAUAAGCACCGGCUAACUUCGUG
rnacentral:rRNA from 1 species